ensembl:lncRNA
GACCUCUAUUGACUUUUUGGACACCACGACAUUUAAAAGUAAUACAUUUCAGGAAACCCACACACUUGACGUCAAAGUAUUCUUCAAAGAGACGGACACUCAUGCUCUGCUCUUCAAGACCAGCUUUCACCCAAAGCACACAUAUGCUGGCUUAAUUAAAUCGCAGUUGUUGAGGUUUCACAGAAUAUGCAGCAGAAAGGAGGAUUUCCAUGCUGCGGUCAAGGUGCUCUUCCAUGCUUUGUCCUCUAGGGGGUACUCCAGGACCUUCCUUAGAAAGUGCCACAGGUCUUUCCUCCAAAAGAGGGCAAUCAUCGUGGGCUCCAGUCUUCCUUUUGUAACCACUUACUCACCUUCUACGGUGGAACUGGUCAGGGGAUGUAGAAGGAGAUUCCUCUCCCACACCACGGGGUCUUCCAUCCUGCAGGACCACAGGAUCAUUUCAGCCUUCAGAAGGAAUAAGAAUUUACAAGAUCACUUGGUGAAAGCCAAAAUUCCACCCUUUCAAAGGGGCAGGUCCGGAGGUUCAAAUCAGUGGUUCAAACACAGGGAGUGGUUUAGCAGUCAUGCUACUAAAGAGGUUUUUCAUAACCCGACCAGAGGGAAUGUCAAAUCGUCUAAUUGUGUCUACCUGAUCACAUGUGUCAAAUGCGGUGUUCAAUAUGUGGGAGAGACUGGGAAUACCAUUGCCACCCGUAUGACACAACACAAACAUAAUAUUGUCAAACAGAAAAAGACACGCACGCCACUGGUGAAACACUUCAUUUCUCAUGAUUGGAAUUCUGUCUCUGUGUGUGUCAUUGAGUGCAACCCUAGAUGGAGUGCUCCCCAGAGGAGGAGAGCAGAGAGGGUGUGGAUCGCCAGAAUGGACACAAGGCAUCCCAGUGGCCUUAACGAGGACUGAGGGUGCUGCAGGUAGUGAGGAGGCUGAAGUUGCUUGGCCGCUCCUAGGGAGCCGAAGGCAGGACCCUGUUGUCUUCUCUGGAUCAUCCUGCGUGGAAUCACAGAACUACUUUACCCAACCGGAAUGUUUUCUGAACAUUGAUUGGAGUUUCCCUGUACGAGCAAACAGCUGCCAAAUUUAAAUGAAGCAGCUAAAGAGGGUGGCAUAGUUCAGGA